GAUGGUAAAAAGAUUUUUUUUAAACACGCCAGAUCUUGUCUGAUCUCGGAAACUACACAGGGUUGGGUCUGGUUAGUACUUGGAUGGGAGAUGGCCUGGGAAUACCAGGUGCUGUAAGCU
rnacentral:rRNA from 14 species